rnacentral:rRNA from 1 species
AGAGUUUGAUCAUGGCUCAGGACGAACGCUGGCGGCGUGCUUAACACAUGCUUAGUCGAACGAUGAAGUGGAGCUUGCUCCACGGAUUAGUGGCGAACGGGUGAGGAACACGUGAGAAACCUGCCUCGGAUUUUGGGAUAACAAAUGGAAACGUUUGCUAAUACCAAAUAACGUCGGAGAGUCACAUGACUUUCUGACGAAAGGAAUUCCGAUUCGAGAGGGUCUCGCGGCCUAUCAGCUAGUUGGCGGGGUAAUGGCCCACCAAGGCAACGACGGGUAGCUGGUCUGAGAGGAUGGUCAGCCACACUGGGACUGAGACACGGCCCAGACUCCUACGGGAGGCAGCAGUGGGGAAUCUUGCGCAAUGGGCGAAAGCCUGACGCAGCAACGCCGCGUGCGGGAAGAAGGCUUUCGGGCUGUAAACCGCUUUCAGCAGGAACGAAAAUGACGGUACCUGCAGAAGAAGGAGCGGCCAACUAUGUGCCAGCAGCCGCGGUGAUACAUAGGCUUCAAGCGUUGUCCGGAUUUAUUGGGCGUAAAGAGUUCGUAGGCGGUCGAGUAAGUCGGGUGUGAAAAUUCUGGGCUCAACCCAGAGACGCCACCCGAUACUGCUUAACUUGAGUUCGAUAGGGGAGUGGGGAAUUCCUAGUGUAGCGGUGAAAUGCGCAGAUAUUAGGAGGAACACCGGUGGCGAAGGCGCCACUCUGGAUCGAUACUGACGCUGAGGAACGAAAGCAUGGGUAGCAAACAGGAUUAGAUACCCUGGUAGUCCAUGCCCGUAACGGUGGGCACUAGGUGUGGGGAUUCUAUUAACGAAUUCCGCGCCGUCGCUAACGCAUUAAGUGCCCCG